rnacentral:rRNA from 1 species
CAUGCCGUAUUAAGGCGAAACCGCGAAUGGCUCAUUAAAUCAGUUAUGGUUCCUUGGAUCGUACCUUACUACUUGGAUAACUGUGGCAAUUCUAGAGCUAAUACAUGCAGCAGAGCUCCGACCUUCGGGGACGAGCGCUUUUAUUAGACCAAAACCAAUCGGACUCUGUCCGUCUCUUGUGGUGACUCUGUAUAACUUUGGGCUGAUCGCACGGGCCCGUCCCGGCGACGUAUCUUUCAAGUGUCUGCCUUAUCAACUUUCGAUGGUAGGUUACGCGCCUACCAUGGUCGUAACGGGUAACGGGGAAUCAGGGUUCGAUUCCGGAGAGGGAGCCUGAGAAACGGCUACCACAUCCAAGGAAGGCAGCAGGCGCGCAAAUUACCCACUCCCAGAACGGGGAGGUAGUGACGAAAAAUAACAAUACGGGACUCUUUUGAGACCCCGUAAUUGGAAUGAGAACACUCUAAAUCCUUUAACGAGGAUCCAUUGGAGGGCAAGUCUGGUGCCAGCCGCCGCGGUAACUCCAGCUCCAAUAGCGUAUAUUAAAGUUGUUGCGGUUAAAAAGCUCGUAGUUGGAUCUCAGUUCCAGACGGGUGGUCCGCCUACCGGUGGUUACUGCCUGUUCUGAACAGCCAGCCGGUUUCUCUUGAUGAUCUUCACCGGUUGUCUUGGGUGACCGGCAAGUUUACUUUGAAAAAAUUAGAGUGCUCAAAGCAGGCGUGACGCCUGAAUAAUGGUGCAUGGAAUAAUGGAAUAGGACCUCGGUUCUAUUUUGUUGGUUUUCGGAACACGAGGUAAUGAUUAAGAGGGACAGACGGGGGCAUUCGUAUUGCGACGCUAGAGGUGAAAUUCUUGGACCGUCGCAAGACGAACUACUGCGAAAGCAUUUGCCAAGAAUGUUUCCAUUAAUCAAGAACGAAAGUUAGAGGUUCGAAGGCGAUCAGAUACCGCCCUAGUUCUAACCAUAAACGAUGCCAGCCAGCGAUCCGGCUGUGUUCCUCAAAUGACACGCCGGGCAGCUUCCGGGAAACCAAAGCUUUUGGGUUCCGGGGGAAGUAUGGUUGCAAAGCUGAAACUUAAAGGAAUUGACGGAAGGGCACCACCAGGAAUGGAGCCUGCGGCUUAAUUUGACUCAACACGGGAAAACUCACCCGGCCCGGACACAGGAAGGAUUGACAGAUUGAGAGCUCUUUCUUGAUUCUGUGGGUGGUGGUGCAUGGCCGUUCUUCGUUGGUGGAGCGAUUUGUCUGGUUAAUUCCGAUAACGAACGAGACUCUAGCCUACUAAAUAGACGUUCCGAUCAUCUAUGUCGGACGU